rnacentral:rRNA from 1 species
UGGGGAAUUUUGGACAAUGGGCGAAAGCCUGAUCCAGCAAUGCCGCGUGUGUGAAGAAGGCCUUCGGGUUGUAAAGCACUUUUGUCCGGAAAGAAAUCCUUGGCUCUAAUACAGUCGGGGGAUGACGGUACCGGAAGAAUAAGCACCGGCUAACUACGUGCCAGCAGCCGCGGUAAUACGUAGGGUGCAAGCGUUAAUCGGAAUUACUGGGCGUAAAGCGUGCGCAGGCGGUUUGCUAAGACCGAUGUGAAAUCCCCGGGCUCAACCUGGGAACUGCAUUGGUGACUGGCAGGCUAGAGUAUGGCAGAGGGGGGUAGAAUUCCACGUGUAGCAGUGAAAUGCGUAGAGAUGUGGAGGAAUACCGAUGGCGAAGGCAGCCCCCUGGGCCAAUACUGACGCUCAUGCACGAAAGCGUGGGGAGCAAACAGGAUUAGAUACCCUGGUAGUCCACGCCCUAAACGAUGCCAACUAGUUGUUGGGGAUUCAUUUCCUUAGUAACGUAGCUAACGCGUGAAGUUGACCGCCUGGGGAGUACGGUCGCAAGAUUAAAACUUAAAUGAAUUGACGGGGUCAUAGCUGUUUCCU